rnacentral:lncRNA from 1 species
UGCCUGCAACAUUUCACACUCAUCCAAUAAUUACAAAUUUGAGUACACAACUUUUUACUGUCAUUCAAUUAGAAGUAGUCAUGUAAGAUAAGUUUGAUGAUUUCUGAUUGUGUUGGAUAUUAGAACAUUUCAUAAUAAAUAACUCACCUUACGACCGACUUAUGAGACCGACUUAUGAGGUUGAAUUAAGCUCACUUCUUAAUAGAUUGAUAUGAUUUAUGCUGUUUAAAUGGUAAGAGAUUAAUAGAAAAUUUACAUUGAAAGAGUCACCAAUCAUGACAACAAAACUGUGAGGGGAAGGCUUGUAGCUUAUCCAUGUUCCAUCUUUGGUCAACACCUCUAAACCCUCCACUUCAUUUUGGUACAAUAUGGUCACUAUGUUCUUGUCUGUGUGUGCGCUGAGGCCCAGCUUUGUGUCACUGGUUUGAGGGCCUUGGUAUUUCAUAACCCUCAGGAGAUAAUUGGUUGAGUUCAUGUGCUCCUCCAAGUACUUCUCAACACCCAAGCUCUCCAAAACCAUCUUCCUAAUAAUCUGAUCCAACUCUGCUAGCUCC